rnacentral:lncRNA from 1 species
GAAGGUGGCGCCCCUCCUCGCCCGGGCGGUGCUCGGCGGUCGUUGUCGCCGGUCUACUAGCUGCCAUCGAUUUAUGUUUCACGUUCUGUUAGUUAGGCCUAGGUUAGUUGCGCACCUGUUUUGUGUUAGUGGUUAGUGGGGAAGGAUAUUUAGGCUAGCUAGUUAGGUUUGUUGUUUGUGCGGGAUUGUUCGUUUGUUCAGGGUGUGUUUUGUUACGAGGUUCUGUGGUUUGCCUUUUGGAGUUACGUUAUUCGUUUUAGGCUGCGUCCCUGGUUACGUUCUUUUAGGGUGGUGCGUUUCUUUCUGCACACCUUGCACUCCAUACCUUUUUGCAUAUUUUCCGUGUGGAUAUUUUAUUAAAUUCAUUCACGGAAUCAUUCUGUCUCCUGCGCCGUUGUGACAAGUAUGGAGAUUGUUGUGGUUUUGGCAGGCUUUCCCUCCUUCUCUGAGCACUUCCUUUAUUUUAAAUUUUAAAUGUUUGGUCAUUUUGCAGAAGCUCUUAUCCAGAACAACUUACAUGCAUUUUCUUACUGCAAAUCAAACCCAUAACCCUGGUGUUGCAAGUGCCAUGCUCUACCAACUGAACCAACCGUCCUGUCGGUCUGUAGAGAUAGACAUUUCAAAUAAAGACAGACAGGAACCUUGGGCAAUGUGUGCAAGACUUGUUGAAGGGACUAGAGAGAUUGAACAACCGUGAAAAGAACCAGACUCAUGAGGGGAUGCCCAUUCUAUGGCUGGCAUAUGGCAUGAUUGCAUCACAGUCUAUUUGGGUUGUUGGGAAUUUUUUUUAAGCAUAAAGCUCAGUUGCUCACAUCGGGUGGCGGGUAUAUUACUUUUCAUGUAAUAGUGCAAUGGAAAUCUACCUGAUUACUUUACGAAAGGACUCAGUCAUGCCAUGAGUUUUGUGCCAGUGACAAAUCUAGGGUAAAUGACUUCCUGGGUGGAUUCUAGUCAGCACAACGGAUAUUGGGGAAAUUAAAGUUUCAUUUAAUGACAACAUCUUAGUCCUAGAUACACAAACGAUUACAUUACCCAAAAGUCUUAGCUGGACCAAUGAACAACAUUGACAAAACGUUAGCCGCCACGUCCCCCAAGUCCUCUCUUUACUAUAACACAUCUAUACAGAUGUCAUCUCUUCCUCUGCUUAUGGAAGUCAUCACUGAAUGGUUUGUUCGACGGAUUAAUAGAUGAGGUACUGCUUACAUGACAUAUUACUGCACUGUCGAACUACUCACACUGCCUACACCCCAGGAGUUAAGAUGUUUAAUCCACACACUUUGCCAUUUAAGACGUCGUAGGCCACCAGACCCAAGCCUUUUCAAGCUGGGAUCGAUUGGCAGAGCCACACAUAGAUCCAAAAUAGAAACUGUUUAUUUAAUCAUUGUCUGCUUGACCACAAUUGCAAACUUCCCAAACUGUAUGCAUAUAUUUUUUUAGGAACUAAGUCGGGCUUCAACCUACUCUUAAAUGUUGUAAUGGAAGAAUGCAAUUUUGUAAUUGGGUAGUGCAUCAUCAGUUCAUCUUGUCACUGCAGACCUCGAAUUGCAGGAAAUCAGCUUUAAACCUGCAAAAUGUUCUCUCCGCCAACAAGAGGGAUGUGAACAGUUUUUGUCAUCAACCAUAGAAAUAGACGUGGCACUCGGGCACCCCUUCCAUCCCCAAUGAAAAGGAAACCUCGUUCAACGAACAGCGGAGGGUUGCGGAAAAGUUGUACCGAGGACAGCUAAUGCCAAAGGUCUCCAGCUGGAGACACAUGUUCGUUCCCUGCCCACCACACUACCGGUCAGACUAUCCUCCAUGAGUUGCAUGUUCUUGGAGAUGAGAAUGGGAAACCCCAGUUUUAGAUAUGAGUUGAAGUCAGUCUAGUGAUGUGUAGCUAAUUGUCAUUGUUAGUGUUAUUAAUGCAUUAUAACAGCUUGACUAACACAAUGUGUUUUCAUUGAAAAGGAUUGUAAAUAAACUGUCUGUCAGUGUUUUGUUG